GAUGAACGCUGGCGGCGUGCCUAAUACAUGCAAGUCGAGCGAAUGGAUUAAGAGCUUGCUCUUAUGAAGUUAGCGGCGGACGGGUGAGUAACACGUGGGUAACCUGCCCAUAAGACUGGGAUAACUCCGGGAAACCGGGGCUAAUACCGGAUAACAUUUUGAACCGCAUGGUUCGAAAUUGAAAGGCGGCUUCGGCUGUCACUGAUGGAUGGACCCGCGUCGCAUUAGCUAGUUGGUGAGGUAACGGCUCACCAAGGCAACGAUGCGUAGCCGACCUGGGAGGGAGAUCGGCCACACUGGGACUGAGACACGGCCCAGACUCCUACGGGAGGCAGAAGUAGGGAAUCUUCCGCAAUGGACGAAAGUCUGACGGAGCAACGCCGCGGGAGUGAUGAAGGCUUUCGGGUCGUAAAACUCUGUUGUUAGGGAAGAACAAGUGCUAGUUGAAUAAGCUGGCACCUUGACGGUACCUAACCAGAAAGCCACGGCUAACUACGUGCCAGCAGCCGCCGUAA
rnacentral:rRNA from 1 species